UACGAACUGUGCAAACGUUAUUCGGAAUCACUGGGCUUACAGGGUGCGUAGGCGGUCUGUUAAGUAGGGUGUGAAAGCCCCCGGCUCAACCGGGGAAUUGCGCCCUAAACUGGCGGACUGGAGUGAGAUAGGGGUGUGCGGAACUUCCGGUGGAGCGGUGAAAUGUGUUGAUAUCGGAAGGAACAUCGGUGGCGAAAGCGGCCUUCUGGACAGGAACUGACACUGAGGCACGAAAGCGUGGGGAGCAAACAGG
rnacentral:rRNA from 1 species